rnacentral:rRNA from 1 species
GAUGAACGCUAGCGGCAGGCCUAAUACAUGCAAGUCGAGGGGUAGAGUUAGCUUGCUAACUUGAGACCGGCGCACGGGUGCGUAACGCGUAUGCAACCUACCUUUAUCUGGGGGAUAGCCCGAAGAAAUUCGGAUUAACACCGCAUAAAAUCACAGUAUCGCAUGAUACAAUGAUCAAAUAUUUAUAGGAUAAAGAUGGGCAUGCGUGUCAUUAGUUAGUUGGCGGGUAACGGCCACCAAGACCACGAUGACUAGGGGAUCUGAGAGGAUGACCCCCCACACUGGUACUGAGACACGGACCAGACUCCUACGGGAGCAGCAGUAAGGAAUAUGGUCAAUGGAGGCGACUCUGAACCAGCCAUGCCGCGUGCAGGAAGACGG